GUGGGUGUCAACUGUAACAGCAGCAACUGGGCAUGGAAAGUUCUGCACCAAUAAAGAGCUAAUUUUAAAGCAUCGACAGGCGAACGGAGUUUGAGCGAUUUUCCAAAAUCAUACGAAGCGCCGCUAAUUUUAUUCCACCAAAUUAUGACUGAUUAAUUUGAAGGCUGAAUGUCACCUGUCAGGUUAAUCAGAAUGUGCCCGAUUCGUCGAUUAGCAUUCGCCGCGAGAAACGCGUGCAGUUACAACCAAUUGCGAAACAGCCUAAUAACAAUGAAUCGUUUAAUUACCACAAGUGGCAAUUCAAUUGAAUUCGCUUAUCUCAGCACAAGUCUUUUUGAUACCGGCGAAUCUCGAGCUUCUCGCUAUAGCGGAAGGAAGUAUUCCAACGGCAUUAAAUUAAACAUCUCCUAUAGGACAAGAAAAAAAGAUCCAGCAAGCAUCUCGUUGAACUUCGAUUUCGGCGUCCUUAUAAUCAAAUCCAUUUACGACUGAAGUAUGACGGUGACUUUGUAACACACUAGAAUCUCCUGGGAAUUCUUCAAUGUCCAGUAUAGCACGGCUGGUAGCUGG